CACUGAAUCCUGCUUUGUGACUAAAGGACUUGAGUCGUUUGCAGAAUCUUCACGCAGAGUCAGGCUGCCAUGGCAGACCAGCGACAGCGCUCACUGUCCACCUCGGGGGAGUCGCUGUAUCACGUGCUGGGGCUGGACAAGAAUGCAACCUCGGAUGACAUCAAGAAGUCCUAUCGGAAGCUGGCCUUGAAGUAUCACCCUGACAAGAACCCCGAUAACCCGGAGGCGGCAGACAAGUUCAAGGAGAUCAACAACGCCCACGCCAUCCUGACCGACGCCACCAAGAGGAACAUUUACGACAAGUACGGCUCGCUGGGUCUCUACGUGGCCGAGCAGUUCGGGGAGGAGAACGUCAACACCUACUUCGUGCUGUCCAGCUGGUGGGCCAAGGCGCUCUUCGUCUUCUGCGGGCUCCUGACCUGCUGCUACUGCUGCUGCUGCCUGUGCUGCUGCUUCAACUGCUGCUGCGGCCGGUGCAAGCCCAAGGCCCCUGACGGCGAGGAGACCGAGUUCUACGUGUCCCCCGAGGACCUGGAGGCGCAGCUGCAGUCCGACGAGCGGGGAGGGCACUGACACUGUGCGGGAGUGUUGGUGGUGGCGGCGGGACUGUUGUGUGAACGCGGACGCUGGAGAGGCCGCAGACGCUCCGAUCGCCGUCCAGCCGGCCUCGGCCACGGAGACCACCCAGCUCACGGCCGACUCGCACCCCAGCUACCACACCGACGGGUUCAACUAAGUUCAGGAAGAGCUGCAACGAGAGGGUCAGCGCCCGGCCGGCCGCUCAACCUUAGAAUCAUGAACUGUAGUCACAGAGCUGGCGCGGGAGCCGCUCCGGCCACGGGAAGGGCAGCGCCCGCCCGCCCGCCUCUGUGCCCGCCCGCCAUCCGUCGAUCCCGACCCACGAAGCGCGUAGCAUGCAGUAUUUAAAGCAGUUUAGCUACGGUCUUCUGUUGUUCCUUUCUUUGACAGCAUGUAUGGGUUCUGUUCCAUGUCCGUCUGUGUUGUGGGCGUGUUGCAGCCAGGCCGUGUUCACCCGGCGGGGCGGGGGCAGGGGGGCGCCUCAGGGCUUUCAGUCCGGUCUGUGCCCUGGGUGGAUGGCCCGCGUGGCGCCUCGCGGCCAGGCGGGCCCAGACAGGCUGGGAGCUGUGGGGUCUGCCCGCUGCCCUCUGUGCACGACCGUGUGGCCGCAGGCAGGGCCGUUGGACUCAGGCGCCUGGCGGGAGCUGGGCCCAGCCGCCCGGCGUGGCCCUUCCGUGGUGUUGGUCCCGAGGACAGUCUGUGCGGCCUCUUCGCCUUGUGGGCUCGGCCUGGCAGCGGGCGUUCCCCGUGUGCGGCUGUGGCGGUCGCUGCAGGAGGCUCUGCUGACCACAGUCUUGCCGUGUCGGACCUGAGGCCGGUCCCCGCCCCCUCACCAGGCGUGGGAACGGUCCCGCACUUGCCCAGGCCACGGGCCGGAUGGACAGGGCCCCCUCCCGCAGCCCCGCUCCCCCCGCCCGCACCUUGUCUUCGCCCACAUCUCUGCAGGACCCCCUGGCCCUUUCGGGACCCCCUCAGCAUCGCAGAUGGCAGCAGUGGCCCGGGCCUCGGGAGUCGGGGGCUGAGAGUCCUGGCUGCCGGUGGCGAGCGGCCGUACAGCCCUCCCCUGUGCCACCCAGAGCGCCCAGCCGCCCCCUUCCUUCGCAUGGUCCCUUUGGCUGGUGUUGAUGGCUCGGGUAGAGCUAGAGGCAUCGGACUCAGAGGAAGGACCAGCUGGACCAAAGGCGCACUCUGGGUAGAGGGGUGGGUUCCAGGAGGCCCUGGGCCCUUCAGCGUGUUUGCCCGCGGCCAGGCCACGGAAGCCCUGGGAGGGCGCUCCUGCCUGGCCUGUGCGUGACACUGCCGGGUUUCUGCAGAACGAGCCGAGGGAACAGCCAGUGGGAAGGACGGGGUGGGGGCCGCACGCAGGGAGGUCAGACGCACCUGAAGUCACUGGCGGCAUCGGCGGCGUCCCCUGNCCCCCCCCCCCCCCCCCCGCCGCCGCCGCCGUGGCCCGAGCACUCCAGGAGCCGUGCUGGGGGAGGCCCCGUUUUGUUGGGGGUUUUGUGCGGGAGGAUGAUCACGGAGGUGUCCAGUGAGGGAGGUGCGCCCUGAUACUGAGCUAGAAGGGCCCCGGGCUUGGGCUGCUGGGAGGGUUAGGAAAUGCACUGUCUCACCGCCCAGGACGGGGAGGAGGCCCCAUGCAGGGCGGUCUUCACUGCCAGUUCCCGUCCAGCAGCAGGAGUCCAGCCCGAGGGGGAGGCAGCCAGUCUUCCUGCUGUCUCUGGAAAUAACUAGGAAGUGAGUUGUUUGCCCCGAACGGCCAAGAACCCAGCUCAAAGCUUCGGGCAGGAAGCCGCCCCUGCACCGUGUCUGUGCUCUUGCUUUGUGUCCAGAAGCACUGAGGCCCGUGGCACACGCCAGUGGUCCCCUGCCGGGGGUCUUUCGGUUCUAGAAUCUUACGGAUCGUCUCCUAGAAACAUGACGCUCCCUGGAGGCCCGGGUGGCGUGGGAAGGAGGGGCAGGUCUGGGUCGAACCCGUCCCCUGUGGGGUUUGUAAAAAUGAGAUAAGUGGUGAGUGAUGACAGCAGCCCUCAAGCCGAUGCUGAUGCUGCCCCGAGGCCCAGGCCCCCGGGAGCUGAGCCCGGGUCUGGACCACCCCCCGCCUGACCCAACCCGAAGCGUGUCCUCUCUGGGGUCCGGGGCAGAAGCCUUUCCCAGGGGUCUACUGUCCACACUCGCAGGCCGCCUCCUGGCUGGAGACCAAGGUCCCCGGGUGCCCUUUGCCCGCGUGGUUGUCUGUUCUCUGGGGAGCAGUGUCGUGUCUGGAGGGGUGCAGCCGCGCCUGUGCUCGGCAAGGACAGCUCUCUGCCUGUCGUGGUGGGGACAGGCGUGCUGUGGGCCUCACGCUAGGUGGCCCGCCGUGGCCAGGGCUGGGGGACCCGAGGGUGGGUGGGGACAGGGCUGUGCACGUCUCUGUUUGUGCGUGGUGACUGGUUCCCGGGCCUUCGGGCCUUACCCUGCUUCCCGCUGCUUUCGCUGUGAGCCCUCCCGCUUCUCUGGUCAGUCGAGUGGGACCGCUGGGCAAAGCCUGGGCGCGCUGGGCGGGGCGGGCGGCGUGUCCACACCGCUGGCCGGGGAGCCCGUCCGGGGCGGCCUGGUCAGCAUCUGGAGGGAGUGCGCCCGGGAGAGCCCUGCCUGUCCUGGCUCAGUGCGUGCGCCCGGGGGGCAGCUUGGAGGCUGUGGCAACGGGCCUGAUCGCAUUCCUCUGGCGGCUUCUGAGCUGUGAACUCUGUGACCCGGGACUCACCUGUUGCGCUCCUCCUCCUGUGGAAUUGGCAGCCAGCUCCGUUUCCUCCUGUCGUUUCAAGCACGGUUGGCGUCGUCUGCUGUAGGUGUGGGCGUAGUGUGGGUGUAGUGUGUGUACAUAUGUGUAUAUGUAUAUAUCACGCAGCAGGCGUGACUGCUGCUAUCCAGUGGCGAAGCAACAAGUACAAUAAAAAUCGGCUCCAAAUUGGCCUCUGGUUUCUUGACGAGUCGCGGUGGGAGCCGGGCCUCAGUGUCUGGUGUCUUGCUCCUUGCGCGGAAGGCGGCACCGACCCCACUGUGCGCCCGGAGCCGGUGCCUGCCCCCUGCGAGUCCAGGGUGGGGGCAGGACCACCCAGGCGGCGACUGGGCAAGCGCUGCCCAUCCCUCCCUGGGCCCCGUUGCUCUCCUGACCCAGAGGUGGGUGGCACGGCCCUGUGACACUCAGGUGGCUGGAAACCCUCCCUCUCUUUAAACAUGAAAACCAGUUUAUGCACCAGAUGGAGUCUGACAGCUGUGCUCAGAGGGCCCCUGUCCUGCACACAGACCCACCCUGCGGGUUCCUGAGGAAGACGGGGCCACACCGCCACCCUCCAGGAGGGGGCUGGCCGCGGCGCGUCUCUGGAAAAUGGGGUGAUGUGGCGGGGGAGGCAGUUUACACUGAAACGUUCCCGACGUGGUGAGAAGCUCUGUGCGGGUGUGGGAACCGUUGUGGUCCCCGUGCUGCUCUCGUCCUCCUGGGGCCUGACCUCUGCCCUGGCGCCUGUGCACACCGGGGGCCAGUCUCUUCUGUCUGAAUGUUGACCUGUGAUAAAGAUAACGUGUAAAAUAAAUGUUUUCACCG
rnacentral:lncRNA from 1 species